rnacentral:sRNA from 1 species
UGAGUUCCAGGCCAGCUGGUGCUACAGAGUCAGACCCUGUCUCGAACAACAGUAAGGCAGUUCAUAGGGAAAAAGAAAUAGUAAGACAAGAGAACGAACUGCAUCUGAAAAUGUGUAAAACAACAUCAUCGAAGGAGGUGGUGGGAGCCCGCAUGAGUAGAGUCUGGGAGAUCGAGUUGAAAAUGAGAUUCAUAUAAGGAUAACUCUUACCCUUCAUCAACGAAACCUCUUUAUUCAGUUCAAGAAGCCACAACCAGGCGAAAUGCAGAGAAUGACUAACCAUGGAUUGCUCAACCACAACCGAUACAUCUACAACUUGGGCAUACACCAUGGCUCAGGGGACAUCAUUGAAAAGAAGGCAGAAGGAUGGCUUCAGUCACAAGAGCUUAGGAGGAGUUGCCUGGAGGGAGCAGGCAAAAUCUGGAUGAUUUCCAGGGAAAAUCAGGAUGAACCAUCUUCCUGGCUUGUUCAAGCUUGAUGAUUUUUCACUAGACUCGGGCCAACUCUCCCAGGGCAAGGCUAUGCACCAUCCUGCAAUAGUGACAGUGCUGGGCAUGACUGCUAUAUAUUCGUGGACUCCUUCCCCUGAUCAGCAUGAGUAGCUAUUCUAAAUAAACCCCACUCACAACAUCAUUUGAGUAGAUGUUAUUAUACUUGCAUGCUAAAAUUAUUCAAACAGAAACAAUGAACCCAGAGGCAGGGACAUCCCUGUCCCCUCAUUCUGUUCUGCAGAGGCACAGUGGAACCAGCAACUCCUGUAUUAAAAAGAUAGAUUAACUAUCAUCUUGAUGGUUCAAAACCAGAACUGCAGUGUGAUAAGCCAGCCUCUUUAAUUUGUUUUACGUGGUUUUCAAAGUUAUUUCUUAGGGUAGCACAUACAGCAACAGGGUUCAUCAAAGCAUCUUUAUGCAUCCCUGUCCCCACGUGUCUUACUCCUCUGUCCUCCUCCCUGACUGUGCUUCCUGUGCUCUAGCUUUAAUCUAGCAAGUAAGUAAUCCAGUAAGUCUCAGUAACUGCUUUCUUAUGUGUGUAGUCCAUUAUCCUUUCCAUUUCUCAUCUUGUUGGGCCAACUGCAGCUUCCGAGUUCCCUGAUCCCUUGAGUAUGGGUUAGAAUAUGAUGUGCUGUCACCCCUGUCUGGGUUUGGCUGAGACUCCACCAUAGCUACUGGCUUUACACAUGUAAGUUGCUGUUAUAUGAGAAAGCACCAUGCUGGGUCCGUAGGAGCCUGUGGUGACUGCAGCUUACUCCCAGCAAGGAGUAGCUUCUACCAAUGGCCUGAACAAGUUCAGAAGACCCCGAGCUUCAAAGAAGAGUAAGUGAAGCCCAGUCAAUGCCUUAGGUGUUGAUUGCUUCUCUUAGCACUAUGACGAACUACUGAAGGAAAGAUUUACUUGAAUUCCCAACUUUCAUAGUUCAUGGUCCCACUGAUUCUGGUGAGUCAGAACAUGAUGGUAGGAAGUACAUACAGGAAGAUGCUGAUGGCAGACAGGAAGUAGAGAAAAGGAGACAGGAAGAUGUUGGGGAUAAGAUACCUGUACAUAUCUGCCCCCCCCAGAGAACUAUUUUGUGGGAUUGUGGACUAUGCCAGGAAACUUGGUAAGAUUGAGUGGAUUCAAAGACCCUGCCACUCAGGUACCCACCUGAGACAGUAGGUGUCUCUCUGCUCCCUACUAGAUCCUGGCCCUGAACACAUGACCACACUCUCCAUGUCAGUUAUGUAACCAGAACAGAGUUCUUCAUGCUAAUGAGCUAUCUAGAGGCCCCGAGAGUUCAGCCAAUAAACUUCCUUUCCUGGACAUUCCUUCCUGCAAAAGGUAUUCAAUCUCUGGUCCACCCUGAGGAGAUGGUAUGCACCCAUUUUCCACAAUGAACAAUCAAUAAACAUUUUGAAACCAA